GUUUGGGUAUUGUCUUCUUCAGUGUCAGUUUGAGUACUGUAAUCCAUUCCUUUAAUUGUUAUUAUUGUUUGAUUUGGACAAAUUGAAUGUUCCUUAGAAUGGUGCAAAUCUGAUAUGAAUUCUUUUCUCUUCUUUUCAUAUAUGUACGGACAUUUUGGAGAUAUAUUUGCAUGUAUUGUCCAAAUGUUUACAUUUUGUGGAAUGUGAAAGAGUCUAACGCAACAUUUGAAGCACUGAAUAGUAUUCAACGCAACACAAUAAAAUCCAGCUUCUGCAAUGGUUUUACAUCCCAUUCAUUUAUAUUACAUGCACAUGCUUCAAAGGUUUUCAUUCUAGAUUCUAAAGUGCAAUACGUUUUUUCAAGUUGAGAUGCAAAAUU
rnacentral:lncRNA from 1 species